ACACUUUAGUCAAGUUCUUCGUUAAUCUCAGUCCACUUUAUUCUCUAUCCUUUUCUCUCCGACUCUUCACCUUUCAUACGCUAAAGAAAAAAAAAAAAAAGCAAAUAAGCGGUAAUUCUCCGCCAAAUCCCUCUUCUCCAACGACAACCAUUUUCCUUCCCUUUAAUUUAGUCCCUCUACUCUCUCGCCAAAGACAUUUCCACAUUUUCGUUUUUAUUAUUUUCUUAAUUUUUUUUUGAAUUAUUGGAAUUGGUUGAGCGAUUGUUCAGAUCUGAGUGCAGUCGGACCGGAUCUGGAUCCAGAUGGAGGAGGCAUUGGAGCUGGCACGUGCCAAAGACACCAAGGAGCGAAUGGCGGCGGUGGAACGGCUCUAUCAACUCCUUGAAGGUUCUAGAAAGAGUCUCACUUCUUCGGAAGUCACUUCGCUUGUUGACUGCUGCUUGGAUCUCCUCAAGGACAACAACUUCAGAGUCUCCCAGGGUGCUCUCCAGGCUCUUGCUUCUGCCGCCGUCCUCUCCGGUGAUCACUUGAAGUUGCACUUCAACGCGCUCGUUCCCGCGGUUGUUGAACGGUUAGGUGACCCCAAACAACCCGUUAGAGACGCCGCCAGACGCCUAUUGCUCACUCUCAUGGAGGUUUCUUCUCCAACAAUUAUUGUUGAAAGGGCUGGCUCUUAUGCCUGGAUGCAUAGAAAUUGGAGGGUUCGGGAGGAAUUUGCUCGGACCGUCACAACGGCAAUCAGUCUUUUCGCAUCUACUGAACUUCCUCUUCAACGGGCUAUCCUUCCACCUAUUUUGCAGAUGUUGAGUGACUCAAAUCCUGGUGUUCGUGAAGGAGCUAUAUUGUGCAUUGAGGAAAUGUAUACGCAGGCUGGAACUCAAUUUCGUGAUGAACUUCAUCGCCAUCAGCUGCCUGCUUCUAUGGUGAGAGAUAUUAAUGCUAGACUAGAGAAAAUUGAGCCACAAGUUAGAUCUUCAGAUGGAACUUUGGGUGGUUUUGCUGCUGGAGAAAUAAAACCUGCAAUCCUUAAGCCCAAGAAAAGCAGUCCAAGAGCCAAGAGUUCUUCAAGGGAGACAUCUCUCUUUGGAGGUGAAAGUGAUAUCACAGAAAAACCUAUAGAUCCAAUUAAAGUUUACUCAGAUAAGGAGCUGAUAAGGGAAUUUGAGAAAAUUGCUUCUACUCUUGUGCCAGAAAAAGAUUGGUCCAUACGCAUUGCUGCCAUGCAGAGAGUUGAAGGCCUUGUUUCUGGAGGUGCUGCUGAUUAUCCAUGUUUCAGGGGACUCUUGAAGCAGCUUGUUGGCCCACUAAGUACACAAUUAUCAGAUAGAAGGUCAAGCAUUGUGAAACAGGCUUGCCAUUUAUUGUCCUUUUUAUCAAAGGAGCUCUUGGGAGAUUUUGAGGCAUGUGCUGAGAUGUUCAUCCUGGUCCUUUUCAAGUUGGUUGUGAUUACUGUGCUUGUAAUAGCAGAGUCUGCAGAUAACUGCAUAAAAACGAUGUUGCGUAACUGCAAAGUGUCCCGUGUGCUUCCUCGCAUAGCUGAUUGUGCAAAGAAUGACCGUAGUGCUGUACUCCGUGCCAGAUGUUGUGAAUAUGCAUUGUUGAUACUUGAACAUUGGCCAGAUGCCCCAGAAAUACAACGAUCAGCUGAUUUAUAUGAGGAUCUGAUUAGGUGUUGCGUUGCCGAUGCAAUGAGUGAGGUACGAUCAACUGCUAGAAUGUGCUACAGAAUGUUCACCAAAACUUGGCCAGACCGUUCUCGUCGAUUGUUCUUGUCUUUUGAUCCUGUCAUUCAAAGGAUAAUUAAUGAAGAAGAUGGAGGGAUGCAUAGGCGACAUGCUUCUCCUUCUGUUCGUGAAAGAAAUGUGCAGAUGUCAUAUACCUCUCAAACUUCCACUACUUCAAGUCUACCUGGAUAUGGAACGUCUGCAAUAGUUGCAAUGGACAGAACUUCAAGUUUAUCCGCUGGAAUGUCUGUCCCUUCUGGGUUGAAUCUAUCCCAAAUGAAGCCCCUCGGUAAAGGUGCUGAACGUACUCUAGAGAGUAUGUUGCAUGCAAGCAAACAGAAAGUCAGUGCCAUUGAAAGUAUGCUUAGAGGCCUUGACUUAUCUGAAAAACAGAGGUCAACAAGUUUGGAUCUAGGAGUUGACCCUCCAUCAGCUCGUGAUCCACCAUUCCCUGCUGCUGUUCCAGCUUCUAAUAGUCUCACGAGCUCUUUAGGCAUAGAAUCAACUACCUCUAGCAUCGGUAAAGGUAGUAACCGCAAUGGUGGUCUGAUUAUGUCUGACAUCAUUACUCAAAUUCAAGCUUCCAAAGAUUCAGGCAAGUUAUCAUAUAGAAGUAGUGUGGCAACAGAGUCUAUGCCAACUUUCUCAUCAUACUCUGCCAAGAGGGCAUUUGAAAGACAAGAACGAGGUUCACUUGAAGAGAACAGUGAUAUUAGGGAGGCCAGGCGGUUUAUAAAUCCACGUAUUGACAGGCAAUAUUUGGACACACCUUAUAGAGAUUUAAACUCUAGGGAUUCACAGAGCAAUUAUAUACCAAACUUCCAGAGGCCACUUUCGAGAAAGCAUGUAGCUGGGCGGAUUUCUGCUGGAAGGAGAAAGAGUUUUGAUGAUAGCCAGCUGUCACUUGGAGAGAUGUCUAAUUAUGUUGAAGGUCCAGCUUCUCUAAGUGAUGCCCUAAGUGAGGGCCUCAGUCCCAGUUCUGAUUGGUGUGCCAGGGUUGCUGCUUUUACUUAUCUCCGGUCUUUGUUGCAGCAGGGCCCUAAGGGUAUUCAGGAAGUGGUUCAAAAUUUCGAGAAGGUAAUGAAACUGUUUUUCCAGCACUUGGAUGACCCCCACCAUAAAGUUGCACAAGCUGCCCUUUCAACACUUGCAGAUAUUAUCACAUCAUGCCGAAAGCACUUUGAGACUUACAUGGAAAGGAUCUUACCCCAUGUUUUCUCCCGAUUAAUUGAUCCAAAGGAGUUGGUUAGGCAACCUUGCUCAACAACUUUGGAAAUUGUUAGCAAAACUUAUAGUAUAGAUUCUCUCUUACCUGCUUUGCUUCGUUCACUAGAUGAACAGCGGUCACCAAAGGCAAAACUGGCUGUUAUUGAGUUCGCUAUUGGUUCCUUCAACAAGCAUGCUAUGAAUACCGAAGGUUCUAGUAAUAUUGGCAUCCUGAAGUUAUGGCUGGCUAAAUUGACGCCUUUGGUCCAUGAUAAAAAUACGAAGCUUAAGGAUGCAGCUGUUACUUGCAUUAUAUCUGUUUACUCACAUUUUGAUCCGACUGCUGUUCUAAAUUUUAUUCUUAGUUUAUCAGUUGAAGAACAAAAUUCCUUGAGACGAGCACUGAAACAGUACACUCCUCGUAUUGAGGUGGAUCUAAUAAACUAUUUGCAGAACAAGAAAGAGAGACAGCAUUUGAAGUCAUCCUAUGAUCCAUCUGAUGUUGUUGGAACAUCGUCUGAAGAAGGAUAUAUUGGUGUGUCUAAGAAGAGUCUUUUACUUGGAAAAUAUUCUGCUGGUUCCAUGGAUAGUGAAGGUGGUAGGAAGUGGGGUUCCACCCAGGAAUCAACCCUGAUAACUGGCAGUAUUGGCCAGGCAACAUCUGAUGAAACUCAGGAGAACUUAUUUCAGAACUUUGAAACCAGUUUAAAUGCAGAUGGUCUUCCUUCCAAAACCAAAGAAUUGUCUUAUAUGGUUAAUUCUAUUGGUAAGAACUUGGGAUCUCGAACUGGCGAGGUAGAGAACUUGGAAAAUAGUGUUAACUUGGAAGGUCUAUCUACUCCACAUCUGGAAAUUAAUGGUCUGAGUAGAUCUGGCUCUUUGGAGGCCAUUGAAGGGAAUAAUGAGACUUCAUCAGAGUUGGAUCUUAAUCAUCUUAAACAUGCAGAUGUAAAGAUUAGCUCUGUGCCAGACACGGGGCCUAGCAUUCCUCAAAUUCUUCACCUGAUCUGCAAUGGGAAUGAUGAGAGCCCUAUUGCAAGUAAGCACAUUGCACUUCAGCAAUUAAUUGAAAUUUCUGUGGCUAAUGAUCUCUCCAUCUGGACCAAGUACUUCAAUCAGAUUUUGACAGCUGUACUUGAAGUUUUAGAUGAUUCUGAUUCCUCAAUCCGAGAACUUGCCCUGUCAUUGAUACUGGAAAUGCUAAAAAACCAGAAAGAUGCUAUGGAAGAUUCCGUUGAAAUAGUAAUUGAGAAGCUGCUUCAUGUAAUGAAGGAUAUUGUUCCAAAAGUUUCAAAUGAAGCUGAGCACUGCUUGAACACUGUGUUGUCUCAGUAUGAUCCUUUCAGAUGUUUAAGUGUUAUUGUACCUUUAUUGGUUACUGAAGAUGAGAAGACUCUAGUUAUUUGUAUAAACUGUUUAACAAGGCUUGUGGGCCGGCUAUCACAGGAGGAACUAAUGGCUCAAUUGCCCUCAUUUUUGCCUGCCCUUUUUGAAGCUUUUGGAAACCAGAGUGCAGAUGUUAGAAAGACUGUCGUUUUCUGUUUGGUGGAUAUUUAUAUAAUGCUUGGGAAAGCAUUUUUGCCACACUUGGAGGGGCUCAACAGCACACAGUUGCGGUUGGUUACAAUUUAUGCAAAUCGGAUCUCACAGGCGAGGACUGGCACCCCAAUAGAUGCUAACCAUGAUUAGAUGGUUCAUUUGGACGGGGAGGUCUAUUUAUUCAUUGUUGUGUAGUUUGUAUAUUGUGUGAAUACACUUCGAAGGUUUUGUCGGAUGGUGAGCAGGGAUUUUUUCACGCUGAAGGAGUUGAAACCCAGGCUGUGGACAAUGGAAGGGCAUUGCCUCGGGCAAACUUCAAUCUCAUUCUCAUUGUCAUAUAUGCUUCUCCCUAUCCAGAAUGGCGUCGAGGUACGUAUCAAUUAUAUUGUUUGAAAUUGAUCCUGUUCCAUCAUCCCUUUUAUCUUCGAUGUUUUGAUGGCAAAAUGCUCGGCAUCGCUGCUUACUCAUGAAAGAGAGAGGCAGGCAUUUCUGGCCGCUGGAGCUGAUGAGUUCAUUCACGAACCCCCCACUCCUGACAUUCUUGUUCCUAUCCUGAGGGAACUCGAUGGGCAGUACGGACGAUAGAAGACAGAAUCCUGCAGAUCAGAGGCCUUCGUCUAGUUGUUGGCUACCAAAAAAAAUCUCAAACUUUGAUGUUUUGGCUGUUGUCUACCGUUUUUUAAUAGCUGUCGGCUGUCGCUAUGGCAAAGUACUGUUAAUGACACAAACAAGGUUGUCCUGUAUUAACCUUCAUUUUCCCUCACAAAAUGCCUUCAGUACGAAUUACUGUUUCUGUUUUCUAUGCUUAUCUUUAUCUAAUUGGAGAUUUAGCA